rnacentral:RNase_P_RNA from 2 species
AGAAAUCGAAGGGCUUACUCCGGCUAUGCCGAGAGAGGAAAGUCCGGACCACCAAAGUCAGGAAACCCGAAUAAGUAGGGACUGCCGCAAGGUAGGGGCUCUGCAACAGAGACGAGCCCGGCAGCUGCCGGGGUGAAACGGGCAACCUUUCCGUGGAAAUCUCAAAACGGUGCGUUACUCUUUUGACUUUAAGAGCACCAGGUAGAGAGAAAAGAUAGAUGGCCCAUAAACAGAAUCCGGCUUAUCGAAAUCU